GCCCGGCUCUGCUCGGAUCCUCUCCGGCUCCCGAAUGAUGGUGCCCGUGCUGGGUCCUUGGCUGCUGGCCUUGGCCUUAGGGACGUCAGGGAUGUGGGCGCAGCUCAGGCUGGAGGAGACCGGCGGAGGGCUGCGAGCGCCCGGGGACUCCGUGCUCCUCUCCUGCCGCGGAUACGGCUUUAGGUUCGAGGAAUAUAGCAUUCGGUGGUACCGCCAGGCACCCGGAGGCAGACCCGAGUGGGUGUCCUACAUCAAGUUUGAUUCUUCAGUCACUAAAUUUGUGGAGUCCGUGCAGAGUCGAGCUAAUGUCUCCCGGGACAAUUCCCGGUCUGAAGCAUAUCUGUUCCUGCGUGCCCUGCAGCCUCAGGACUCUGCUCGCUACUUCUGUACCCUACUUCCUCGCACAGAGACAGGAAAAGCAGCUGAGCUUUAACAGAAAGCUGCUGAGCCCGCUCGGGGUGCAAAAGGUGUGGGACGAGUGAGUGCUGCAACAUCGAGUGAGAGCUCAGGGCUGUUGGCAGGGAGUGAGGGACUAUCAUUGUUCAUCACAGGGAUUCCUGUCCUUUCUUGCAUAAUGAAGGAAA